ACCUGAAAUCAUUGUAUAAUCAUACCGAUCCACUAGCCUUUUUAUUAGCUGAUUUUUCCCCCUUGCUCUCACACACAAUAAUGAUUUAAUGCCUUUUUCCUCCUUCUAAUUUUUAUUUGGCAAAACAAGAAAUCAGGUGAGUCAGAACAAUAUUCAAGAGCACACACUCUCUUCUAAAAAAAAUCCCCCCAUACUUGGCAAGGAUUUAUAUGUAAUUUGGUUGCAAAUUCAGAAAUCAAAUUCUGCUUUAUUCAAGGAAAAUAAUAGCACUUGGGUAAUUCCAGUGGAUAUUAUUCAGGCUGGUUUUUGAAAGUCUUUUUCUAAGUUGUUAUCAUGUUAUAUUAUUCAAAGUACUAUUAAAAAGUGCUCAAAUGGUUCAGAAGGAACCCUGGAAAACGCACUUGGUUGAUGAACACUGUGAUGGGCAAGUUUUCUGGAGGAAAAACUUGGUCUGUGCCUUUGGGCCAGGGACCAUGCCUAAGGUCAGAUGUUUGAAAAAUAAGUCAUAGGAAGGCUCUCGCUAUACCAGGAUGUUUAUAGUAUCAGCCUUAUACAGUUAUUUUUUCCUGAUUUCUUCCAAGAUCUGCCUAAUGGGAAUGCAGCCGGCAACUUCCUGCUCUGCUCCUGCACCCGUGUGUCCCCGCUCAGCCCUUGCGGCGGUCCGGCCCAUGAAAACCAGGGCACUUCAGUUUGCUUUUCUCAGUGUAGCCACAUUUGAUAGUUUAAAAUGUUCAGUAUGCAAGGCGUUCUGAGGACUUAGUAAACAGAUGCAUUUAAUCGAAUUAGUGAGUAGGAUGAGUGUUUGUGAAAACUUCCAUUUUCACUUGGGUUUUGAACGUUCAACGUGCAACACCCAAGAAUAAUGAUGUUUUUAAAGCUGGCCCAAUAAGCGAGAUUGCAAGUAUGAGGCGGCCCCUGGGUAAGAUGCCACUUCUUCACUCAUCCCCGACAAUGUGCCCUUUGGGGGAGCUGCUCAGAAGCUUUGGGUACUUUUUGUAAAGGCAAACCAGGCUUCUGAUUUUAUUCUUCACCUUUGUGAAGAAAUAGUUUGCAAAUAUGGGAUUCCAUUUUGAUACACCUAUUUCAUAAUAACUUGUACUCCUACUUUAGGAAGGGCUCAUUUUUACUCUGUUAUUUGCACAUGAGCCUACUGACAUUGGUUUACCCUGGGUCAGUAUUUUUGUUUUCCUUACAGAGAUAGUUGAGGAAGAAGAGAGGGUAAAGAAACCUACCAGUAAAGACAGAAGAACAGGGAAAGAGGUAAUGGCAUUUGUAGGGUCUCAGGCUGGGUGAGGAAAUGUGAGCAAAUAUCCAUAGGAAGGAUUCUUUCCUUCCAAACAUAAUGAAGCAUUUCACAAUCUUUUGCUUUAGUUAACUCAGUUUCAUGUCAAACCUGGCAUUAGUUAACAAGCAACAGAAAUAAAAUUCUGGCCGAAGGACAGCAUGUUUGAGGAACAAAGCCCACGGCAGACACUACAUUAGCAGCCUCCCCUACAACCCCCGCCCGGCAUACUGGCAGACCAUUUCUAUAUCUUCUCUCCUUUUGUAAAAAAUAUAAAAAACAGAUUUAGUGUGCCUGCAGCUGACAAUGAUCAGUCGUGUGCCUGUGUUCUCUCCUGACUGAUAGGUGGUAACUCCACACCCGUGCAAUCAUGUGUCUGCUUAGAAACCUGUGAACAGCUGUUUUAUCAUAUUUAACACAUUUUGGAAGUCCACACAUUCACAUCUCAUGAUGUGUUAUGUGUGUAUAUAUAUAUUUUUAAAAAGUUAACAAUGCUGAAAGCACUCUUAAGGAGUUAAUAUUUUUCAAAUAGGGCAUAAAACAACCAGAAGUCUACAAUAAAUGUGCAUUCAAUCCUAUGCAGAAAUAUGUGAAUAUACUGUAUAUAAUAGAUACAUGCUAGUAUGAAAAUUUUUUCUCUUAUAGAUGAGGAAUUACAAUUCAUAGUUUCCAUUCCUAAGUAGUAACAACACAAAUCAGAAAAUGUGAAUGAAGGAUAACAGGCCAAUAUCCCUGGCUAUACAUACAACUAUCAAACGCCAAAACUAGAUUCUUAGUUUCAUAUAAGGAAUGAGAAAAAACACAGUACAAACUAAAUUUUUUAAAAAUCAAAAUUACCUUUCCAAGAGAAGUGGGUGCUGAAUUUCAGUUGCUCAAUCCUAUAAUUUCUUCCCAAUUCAUAAGUUGGGAUGUUAACAUUUUCCUAAAGAAUUUAUUGUGCUGCUUACCGCAAAUUUGUAUUGACAAUUAAAGAUACAUUAGAAUUUGGAGUUUAACAAAUUCUAGUAAACGGAGGUAUUUAUUUCCAUGAAAGUGAAAAGACUUUAUAAAAUUUGAAAAGUAUUUUAUUUCCCAAAUGUCUAAGGAAUGCCUUCCUUUGACAGUUGAAAGACUUGAUUUAUUUGAAGUAUUUUUGCAUCUUAUCAAUCCUUUAUAGGGGCUGAAAUAGUCAUUAUUUUAAUGACUGCAUAUUCUUUUUGAAUCACAUCUCAGAAUUUAACUAUUAAAAUUUGAAGCAAUUUUUACACUUUAAAAACUGUCAAAUUUUACUUUAAAAAAUUUUUAAAUCAUGCUGAAAUACUAAUGAAAGUUGAAUUUCUUUCUGCCCACCCCAAAUGAGAACUUUCACCAUUUCUUAGCCACACAGUUCUUCAGUGACCUAGGUAACUGAUAUGUCCUCUGUAAUAAAGGAAAAUAAUAAUAAAGAAAAUAAACCCUAAUUAGAAUGCAAAUGGUUCAUUGUUAAAUUGCAAGGGACAGCAAGAACUUUUUCAAAAAUCAAGAGUACAGAGAUCAUGUCUUUAAAAUGUUCACAACACAGCCUAAGCUGCAAAGUGAACACAAACAGAAUGAGUGAUUUUUGUUGGGGUGUGGUGUGGGGGUCAGUUAGAAGUUAUUUGAACUGUGACCACAGUGGCCUUAUUUAUUGAAAUAGUCCUGUCUUAUUUUUUUAAAUCUAAUAGGAUUUCAUGCAACACAAGUGAGUAAUUUGCUUUAUAUGUAAUGACAGUUUCAUUUUCCUGAUUUUCUAAAUAUGUUUAGCCUUUAGAUUCAGUUACAGACAGAUAAGGUUAAGGUUGGAUUUUUCAUAUGUAUCCCUUCCACACAAAGUGAAGACUUGUUUUAACUAAAUUUAUCACUGCAAGACGAGAUAAUAUUUGAUGGCUGCAAAAAAAAAAAACUAAACUAAAAAGAAAGCCGGUGCUUUUGUUCUGUUUUGUUUCUUGCUAUUUAUAGAGCAACUUUUGGUGGAAUUCCUAAUUUUAAAAGAACAUGAAGUUCAUUUUUUUUUAACCAAAAGAAAGUGGUAAUGUUAGCGAUAGACAAGGGAUGACACUAACCUUGGAAAUAAGAGUCUAUAUAAUUUUUACAUGAAAACAUAUAUUUUAAAACAUUUCAGAAUUAUAAGAGGUGUGGAUAGGCACUUUCACUCCCGUGCUUGGUUUUCGAUGGUGUGCACAGGCAGAAAUUCUUAACUAUCAUCAAGGGUUUGCGCCUCUGCUAACAUCUUAUCCGUUAAGCAGUUUUUCUGCUCUGUAGUCUGCUACAAGAUCCUGCUUCCAAAGUGGGUUCUUCCCAGUGUUCCUACCUAGGAGAGACAGCCGCCUCCUUCCCUCGUUCUGACAACUUCUCAGAAAUUGGCAGUCUCUCACAAGCAGAACGCCGGAAAUUUUUAGGAGGACUCUAAGACUCACUGGGAAACUUCUCUUGCUGGGAAAAAACUUCUCAACGCACACCUGGAUCUACAGAUUCGGAAAAAUUAACCAGCUGUAGCCAAAAACCCAAACACUCAACCACCCGAACAGAGUCUGCAAGAAACACAGAGUUCUUUGAGCAACAAGAAGACUUGUAAAUAAAAUAGCUCCAAGGCAGACAGGCUGAAUGAGCCUUUUAAGACAGCCUGUUGGUGCCUCAAACUUUAAUAUUAGAACAUUAAAUGUUAGCAACACGAGGAUUCUACCCUGGGAUAUGUGCGUGCGCAUGUGCACGCAAUCAUGUGUGUAUGUGUACGUAUGUAUAGAAAUGAACAUUUUGCUGCCGCUGAGGCUUGGGGCUGAGUUGAGGUCCUGGUGGAGAGCCCCUAACUCGGGAAGAGGGGCAGGCUCUACCUGUAUUCUCUUUGGGUCACUCCCUUUUUCAUUCCACGUAUGCAAACACCCAAAACCAGUAAAAACAACCUGGUGUAGAUGACAAGGACCCGUCUCAGAUAUAGAAAAUAUUUCCUUGGAAUAAAAGAAAAAACAAAACCUGUGUUUUGUGAAUGGCAAACCAAGCUGACCUCAUUCAUCGUCAUUAGGACAGCAGCAAGGUCAGCACUGGGAAGUAAGGCACGGGGUGGGGCUGAGGUGCGCUCUCUGCCCUGCAGCUCCGGAUCCCUCAGGAGAGGUCAAACUGUGCAGAGCCAGCUGGGGUUUGGACCCCGCUGACGGCCCAGGAUAAUCAUUCAGGGCUCUUAGGCAUACAUGUCCAGAGUAGGAAGGUCUCCAGAUCAUCAAUUCCAAUCCCCCAAAUUGGGGGUCACUUGACUUGUCAAGUUCAAAGGCCUUGAGGGGCUGGGGAUGCUCUUUAUUGAGCCUGCUUUCUCACUAUGCAUGGCCCACACCCUUCUCAUAGCCAGUGAAGAGGGUUUCCAUACAGUUCAAGUCAACAGAAACUGCAUCAGUGCCAGGUUCCAUGUAAGCCGCCAAGCUAAGCAUUUUGAGAUCAUAAAACAAGGGCCUCGGAGUAGAGGGUUUCUCCUAAGGUACUAGGAUAGCAAGCGCUUCAUAAUUUACAGUGGUCUCACCCCAUCUCAGGCCAUGCCCACGACUCCACAGGACAACAGGAUUAUCAUAGUUCCUUAAAGGCCAGGGAAACUGAGGCUCAGGUGGGUGGAAUAGUGACUUGGUUUAAUAUUGCACAGACCUGGGACCCUCAGGCACACAUGCCCCUUUGUUAUUUUUGCCUUUUUUUUUUUCAAGGAAAACAUCACCACCUACCUCUUCUCACUCAUAUACACAUAGGCUUAUUUUAUAGGUUAAGAACAGUUUCCAGGAAAAACAGAGCCCCAUUGAAAUCUGAGCCCCAGAACUGCCUUAAGCUGGCCAGCUUUGGCAACCCUGCACCCCUACAGCCAGCUAUGGCCACCUGAGGCAUCCACCUCUCCCUGCCGGGUGCAUCCUGGCCACUCCUUCAAAACUGGGCUGGGAUGAAUCCACCUUGGAGGGUAAAACUGCAGACACGAGACCCCCACCAGGCCUGCCUGAGUCCUUGUAAGGAAGCCGCCCUGCCUGAGCUGAGGGGCCAACAGUGCCCUCUGUCCACCACACUUUCUCCUGGGUGCCAGCACCCUGAACCAGGGUUUUCCCCAGCCAAGCAGCUAAUGAGCCCCACCUGACCUUAUCCAUUGCAGUCUUCUCUGAACCUGGCAGGCCGCUGCUGGUAGUAUGAAAGGCCGAGCAGGUGACCAGGAUGGCCUGGAAAGACCUCAAAGUCCUGUGUCAGCAAGAACCACUGAUGGCCGGCUCCCUGUGAAAAGGCUCUCUCCUGCAAGGGUGGCCAGUGUCCCAGGCCUGGACAUCAGCAUUCUUCAGGGCAAAUGUAUGCUGAUCCGAUCGAGCUAUUGCUCCUCAGAAAAGAGAAAGGCCAGGUUUGAGCCUUGGCAGUGGAGGAAUGACAGUGAGGAAGGGGCAAAGAACCAGGGAACUGGGUUGUUUGGGAACUAGUUCUACAGAAAGGGAUGAUCGCAGGCAUGGCUCCACAGGGUUGCCUCUGCAGCAGAGAUUUGCCCCACACCCUGACAUUCACUGGAGCAUCCGCCUUACCCAGCUCGUGUACACCUGGGACCCCCACCCCAGCUCUAUCCUCUGGACCACCACAUCUUUCUGAAGCCAAAUUCUACAUUCAAAUAUGGCCCACCACAGAAGACAAGCUCAGAAACAAACUUAGCAUUUUAAAGUCUCCCUGGCAAAGCAACGUGAAGAAAACUAUGAAAUAAAUGAGGCGCGGACCAGAGGGCCUCACGUUGGCUUGGCUGAGACGUAGAGGCUGCUCUGUUCAUCCACAAAGGCAAACCCUUACUGAGACCCCUUUCUCUUGUUUCCUUUUUGCCCCUAAUUACAAGAAAAAGUGCUUUUUAAAAGAGAUAAAAACCUUUAAAAAAAAAAAAAGUUACAAGGAGCUAAGCUUCAAAAGCUUCUUGGGAUAAAAAUUAUAACCUUGUCCACCAUUUGAGUUAAAAACAAAGAAGAGAGGACAUGGAAUGGUCAGGGCCUGAAUUUGGUGUCAUCUGCCUCAGCGCCCUGCACAGCCAGUCUCACCUAAAACCGCCCCCGGCUCUGGAAAGGGUGCGCUCUGCGGAGAAGAGGGGCUGUGGGAGGGCUCACCGCCCGGGAGGGGCUGAAGGCUCCUGAUUUUCCCUCUGGGAGGCUGAAUUCUGCCUUCCCGGUUCCUUUUCUUUCCCACCUGCAGGAUUCCCAGCAGAGAAAGAAGAGGCACAGCAAACCUCUCCUGCCUGCACCCCGCGGGCCUCGGGCCCAGGGCGGCAGAGUCGCCGAGGCCCCUUCCCCGGCCGACAGGCCCCCGCUUGGCCGCGAUGGAUGCUCGGGGUCCACCUCCGCCAGGCAGCCCCCCCGGCUCGCGGCUCCGGCGGCGGGCGGGUCCGCGCGGGCCGGGCCGAGUGGCCGCGUCGGGAGCGGCGUGGGGCCUGAGGUCUGGGCCCGCGGCGGGGCCGGUGGGCCGCGGUCUGAGUCUGGGGCGGGGGCUGCGUGGGGAGGUCCGAACCGGAGGCCGGGGCCAGGGUCCGCGGUCCGGGUCCGAGGCCCGGCGGGGGUCCGAGUUCGGGUCGGCGCCGGGUCCGGGGUCCCGGGCCCGAGCCGGGGCGGAGCGGGGGUCCCGGCGGGGUCCGCGCCCGCGUGGGGGUCCUCGGCCGCGGCGGCGGCACGCGCCCCAAUUAGCCGCGGGCGGGCGGCGGGGCGGCCCCAUUGAGGGCGAACAAAGGGCGCGACCCCGGGGUCAGGGAGUCGCGGGCCGGCGGCCGCCGCUUUGUUCGCCCGCCCUGUUUACUCUGCGCGAGCAAAGCGCGCAAGACCCCGACUAAAGCGGAUUAGAGGGUCGCGCCCCGGGCCCUCCCAGCCCGACGGGCCGGCCCGGCCGCUGCUGCACAGCCCUUCCCGCCGGGGCCGCCGGGGAAACUGAGGCCGGGCCGCCGAGGCCUUGCCGGGUCUGCAGCGCGCGGGCGGCGGGCGGCCCUGCAGGGGGCUCCGGGCCGGCGGCCCCUGGCUCACCUGUGCGGCCGGACAGCGGGGCAGCCGUCCCGGGGAGCCCCCGGCCCGGCCUUCAGGCCGACCGGGACGGUGUGCUACUUCCCGGAUCCCUGCAUUUUAGUGACUCUGCCCUUCCCGACGCUGCUGGUCCUGGGAGUUCCUUUUACAGGGAAUCCAAUGGCACUUGCUUGAAGGCUAAGAUGCAGGAGAUGGGAACACGGGCGGAUUUUUCCAUAUCACAAAAUUCUGUAGCUUUAUGGUUAAGAAAGGAAACCCCUGCCUUUCGUCUUGCCACGGGCGAUGCACCCCUCGCUGUGAAUCAGCAGGUGACUCGGGAGUGUAGAAUGACAGUUUGAGAUCUAGAAGUCCAGGGAAGCAGAAGCUGGAGAAAAAAUUAUGUUUUCUUUUCUUUCUUUAAAGAAGGCAAAUAAUGAAUACAAAUAAACCAUUAAAAUUUCUACACAAAGACCGCAGUUUAUCAUCUGGCAUUACGAAUCCAAGAUCUGUAUACUUCUCCAGAUACGAACUUGCAGAAUCUUUUAAAUUGCUCUUAAAAACCAAGCAGUAGAAGCAGAAAGCACGAACUCAAAACCACACACACAGCUCUACAACGGGAGGGUUAUUAUUGGACCAAAUAUCCAAGAAGAUCGAGAAUGCAUUUUUUUCCUUCCUGAUGUUACUGUUUGGGAGGCAAAAGUACUUUGCCUUAAAUUCACACAAAAUCUUAAUCGAGAUUUUUAUGCCCUGCUUGUCCAAGCACAUAUGUUUGAUUAGGUGAACUCAUGUACUCUUUGAUGAAUAAACUAUCAAUGCACAAAUCUUUCAUAAGAGAAUAAUAAUAUUUACUUACUAUACAUAUUUGUUGGCCUAACGAAUAUUUCUGCCACAUGCCAUCUAUCCAUAAUUAUUGAAGGAAAAUAUGCCAUUUGUCUAGAUUUCACAGAGCUUUAAAAAGGACUUUUUCUUACUUACAACAAUACCAUGUGUUAGAGAAGACACAGCAAAGUGUAAUUUAAGAAUAAAAUAUAAAGAUAAAUAUUUAAAAUAAGAGAUUCAGUAAAAAGUAUAAAAUAUAAAUAAUCCAAAUAUAAAAUACAUGCAAAAAGGAAAAGUCACCUAUAUGCCAUUAUCCAGAAAUAAUAUUCUAUUUUACUUCCUUUCCAACAGUGACAUAUGCAUAGUUACAUAAUUUACAUACAGAGUUACUAUUUGUGAAAUGCUGUAUCCCAUACCUUCCCAUGCCCUCAUAAACUCUUUGUCAACAGCAUUUUGACAGUGACACAAUAUUCCAUUAUUUUGUUACGUGAUAAUUUGCCCCAGCAUUCCCUAUUAUUCCAAAUUUAAUUUCUCGCUAAUAUUUCUCAACUGUAAAUAACACUGCAACCAAUGGCCUUGCCUGUGAAGUGUGUCUGCAGUGUGGGUUAUUAAUAAAUCUCUAAUAAUCUAUUGUUAAGAUGCUGAAUCUGCUACAUUAUUCUAAGGGAGCUAAGAGAGGCCCCAUAGACUCUAUUUAUCCUAUCAGAAAUGAACUUGGAAAUUCUAGCAUUCCCUUGAGGUGGUGGUUAUUCCAGAAAGCAAUACGGAAAUCAGUCUGUCCCCCUCCACAGGCCUGGUGAUGUGGAACUUUGCCUGCAGGAUUUGUGGGACCAGCCGAGGCACACCCUGAUUGCGACAUGGCCUCUGGGAAUUGUGCCCUGGCACAAAAGUGCUGGUCUGGGUCUGCCUUCCGAGCCUGUUGGCACUGACCCGUGGCAGUUCGGUGGGUUUAAAUCAGGACUAUAAAGCCAAACACCUUAGAAACAUUAUCUCAACAGUUCUGACAGGACGUUGCACACCUAAGAAGGGAUCUGGCCCAAGUCUCUUUCUUUGCUGGGAACUCAAACCUCAGGCUUGCUUUUCACCAUUUGCCCCAAGCUGCAGGGUCCUGCCUUCCUCCCACCAGCCUGCUGUCUCCUGCCUGGAGAAGGCCUCGCUGGGCUCUUUUGCCUCUCCAAGGUUUGGGCCUGUGAGACACUGUUUUAUGCCACUUGCCCCUUCUCCCAGUGCCUGGGCUCUGCCAUGGGGUCAGCUGGCGGUUUGUGUGGCCUGCCCUGACACCGCUCCCAGGACAGCAGGAGAUGGGACUAGGCGCCAUGGAGCCCCCAAUCUUCUCCCUCAACACCAGGGCCUGUGCUGGGCCUGCUGGCAGGAGGUGGAGGCCAGAGAGGAGCAACUUCCACGAAGAACAGAAGCACAAAGAGGACAGGAGGACCCAGCCGAAGAGCAGCAUGGAGUUAGCCGAAAAUAGAUGUCACCAGAACUGACAAGGCUGAGGAAAGCCUGGAAGGAAAUAUGUGGAAAUAUGACAGCAGCUUUAGGGAAGAGGAUGAUGAAGAAUGUUCCCAUACGUGUAUUUUUCUGUAUUUCCCAAAUGUUCUAUGGAUAUUGCCUUCGUAAUCAGAAAAGGAUCAUAUUACUGAGACAACUAUAUUUAUUAAAAGUCAAAAAGAUAGAAUUCAUUUUAAGGGUCAAAUGAAUUACUGCUAAUAUUUACAAGUUUAACACAAACAAUAAUAGUCCUAUAUUUCCGGGCAAGUUAUUAAGAUGUAUAUAACGGUAGUUCACGUAUCUCUGGCACUUUACCCUUCAGAGAAACACUCUGAAACAGAAAAUGAAACUGGGCAGCGUCGCUAGGCAGAUACUGCCUGCCGUUGUCAUAUUCCCACGGCAACCCCCGACAGUGGGCCGGGAUGGACACUUUCUUCUCAUUUUAAAUCUGGGAGACUGAGGUUUGGAGGAGCAGAGAGCGCCAGGACUUGGACAGGGGUUUUGAGUCUCCCAGGUCCCUACAACAGCUUCCAGACCUCCGAUCCCGGCACCUUCCUGCAGGGAAGGCAUUUUCCCCAGGGGUCUAGUGUGGUUCCCAUUAUUUCCAGUUUUUUUCCUCCAUUACUGGAGGUGGUGCCUAUGGCCAGGUGGAAUUGGAAUUAGUGAAGAUGUUGUGGGAUUUGCUUCAAAAUAGAGCUAUUUGCACAGGGCCCACUUAUCACUUGAGAUAUGCCCCAGCGUGCGGGUCACGCUGAAAAGCGGCCUGGCCGAGGUGGCUUUGCCUCAGCCAGGCAGGUGCUGUCCAUUUCACAUGAUAAUAUGAGAGCCAAAUGCCACACUCCUCCUGGCAAGAGGAAAACGUGCCUAGGACAGUGUCUCAGGUACAUGUUUGUGGAGCCUCUGGAGUGUGAGUCAAAGCUGCAGCCAUAUUUCCACUGAGGAACGCAGUAUGCCUGUGGGGGCACACACCUUUCCUUAUCAUAUUUUCAAAGAAGUGGGCCAAUUCCAGUCCCUUCAUAACAACAGCUUAAAUACAUUUGCAAAUCAAAUGUAUUUGAUCUUACAUCUCUUUCUUUAAAAGUGAGUUAAAAGGCAAACCAGCAUGUUAUGUUCUACUCUAAAAGGCAAUUUCUAAAUUUGGAUUUUGAAAAAAAAAAAUUGUACUCCAGCUUGAAAAUCCAAUGGCUCUCAGAAUGCAAGCGAGCUACACCACUCUUUGUGCUAAAAUCAUCUUAACUGGUUUAAAAUAAAUCAGAACAAAAUGAUGUGCGCUGCACAUAUGUCUCCCAUCACAGGUUUUCUGCAGGCAAUGGGGUGCAGUGGGGUGCGGUGCAGCACACACACCAUGUUCCAUCCACGGGGCCCCAAUUCCUCAUCCAGUGAGUUCUCAACAAAGAGGCACCAACAUCUCAUGGACCAAGCAGACCUUGGCUUUUUAUAUUCUGAAGACAUCCUUAGUUUCAGACAAGGAUUAAAUUAUAAAAGAAAUGAUUAUAAAAUGUAAUCAACAGGUAAGAUGAUUAAAUCAGAGGCAUUUACUUCCUCCAAGAAAAAUGUGGUGCUUGAAAUCUUUAAGCUGUAGUGGAUGGCACAUUUUCAAAAGAGCCUUUACUUUACUUCCCCUCCUCACCCUGGGCACGGCAAACCAUCUUGCCUUCUAAACUCAAAACACACACCACUUUAAUUUAGCAAAGAAGGGCUACAAAGCAGAAUCUCUGCAGAUCAUUUUUAAAUUUAAAAGAGACAAGAGACCCUUAACGGUGUUUUAAACGUUUUGGGGGGCAGUUACCUUUUCCACGUGUUAAUAAUUUAACUGUCAAAUCACAACAAACAACUAAUUCCCUCUCUGAGAUGCUGGGAUUGCAACCUAGAAGUCGAGAUUUUAAUUGUAACUAGCCAAUAGCAAAUGCUGACAGAAGUCCUGCUUUCAAAGUGUCCUGAGACAGGGCUGGGACAUGACUAAUUUAUUUUAUCUUCUCCAUCUAUCUAUGCACACAAUUAAAAUAUUUAUAUCAGUCUGUUCACUUUAAAACAUGUAGUGCAGGCACCAGCUUCAGGGCCACUCCUCCAUUUUUCACAGUUUUGGCUUCUCAUUGUUUCCAGAAGUGCAGGGCCCAUGCAUGGUGAAUGCUCACACAUGCCGCUGACAUCUUUCAGUAGGGAGCUCAGUACACGCUGCUCUCUAACUCAUCUGAAAACCCCUCCUCAAGCUGCACAAGUGCUGCACAGGCACGGUGACGGAGCUGCUCGGACAACGCCUCUUGCCCAAGAGACGCCAAUGAAUUCCUGCAGGCCUGAGCCCAGUUUCUAGACGGAGUUUGCCUCUGGCCCAGGUGGCUGAUGGAAACCAGAGCCUGGUAAGGAUGCCCCAGCCAGGCGGCCAGGUGUCACUGUUUGUGGCUGACGUCACGUUUCUAUGGGACACGGCUGUGCUGGACCGGGUUUGUGGGGGCCGAGGAGGGCCAGCAGCCUGUCUUCUCCUGGGGGGACAAUGGCUGGAAGAUGCCAUCACGUCUCCUCCACUGAGUGACAACCCCUCACCCGAGGGCCAGGAGUACCAGGCCCUCAUGGCCACAUCUGACUCCCGCCUUGCGGUCACCUGCCUCGAGAAUUGGGUCUGACACUUAGGGGUCUGGGAAUCCUUUGUGAAACACGUAUGUGUGCACAGGAACACACACAGACAUAUGGAACGGCCCGGCUCCUCCUCACAGCAGGCUGCGUCAGCCCCGCCCGGCUGGCCUUCAGAGAAGCCGGCUUCACGGGGCACCCAGAUGGCGCCCCUGGGGCCCCAAACUGACCCUCUGUCUGGGGACAGCCCAACCCAGCCCGGGGCUCCUUCCUCCAUAAAUAAUAAAAUGAUAUUUUAUGCCAAUAUUGGUAUAAAGAUGGAUAUAAUCUAG